rnacentral:tRNA from 1 species
UAUAUUUUAGUGUAUGAUGCACAAAAGUUUUUGAUACUUUUAGAAAUAGUUUUUGAUACUUUUAGAAAUAG